UACGGGAGGCAGCAGUGGGGAAUAUUGCACAAUGGGCGCAAGCCUGAUGCAGCCAUGCCGCGUGUAUGAAGAAGGCCUUCGGGUUGUAAAGUACUUUUCAGCGGGGAGGAAGGCGGUGAAGUUAAUAGCUUCACCGAUUGACGUUACCCGCAGAAGAAGCACCGGCUAACUCCGUGCCAGCAGCCGCGGUAAUACGGAGGGUGCAAGCGUUAAUCGGAAUUACUGGGCGUAAAAGCGCACGCAGGCGGUCUGUCAAGUCGGAUGUGAAAUCCCCGGGCUUAACCUGGGAACUGCAUUCGAAACUGGCAGGCUAGAGUCUUGUAGAGGGGGUAGAAUUCCAGGUGUAGCGGUGAAAUGCGUAGAGAUCUGGAGGAAUACCGGUGGCGAAGGCGGCCCCUGGGACAAAGACUGACGCUCAGGUGCGAAAGCGUGGGGAGCAAACAGGGAUUAGGAUACCCGGU
rnacentral:rRNA from 1 species